rnacentral:lncRNA from 1 species
GCUUCUAUUAUCACGCCUAGUGGUUUACUAAGGCUCACCAACAAAACACAAAACGCUGUAGGGCAUGCAUUUUAUUCCAAACCAAUACAGAUGCUUGACACCAGUUCAAAUUCUUCUCCAAAUGCUUCAUCUUUCAGCACAACCUUUGUCUUUCAGAUAGUCUCUCCAAAAGGAAAAGGAGGCCACGGCCUUGCUUUCGCCUUAGCUCCCUCCAAACAGCUUCCCGGGGCUGCCGCGGAGCAUUACCUUGGUCUUUUCAACCCUACAAAUAAUGGUAAUAGCUCGAACCAUAUUUUCGCUGUUGAAUUUGACACGGUUAAUGGGUUCAACGAUAAUUCAGACACUGAAGGAAAUCAUGUUGGAGUCAACAUUAACGGCAUGCGUUCGAACUCAUCAAGGGCAGCUUCCUAUAGCGAGGAUGACAACGCAAACCUGUAUGAAGAUUUGAUGUUGGAGAGUGGCGAACGUAUUCAAGCCUGGAUAGAAUAUGAUGGUGCGGCUAAACUUGUUAAUGUAACAAUAGGUCCCAUGGGGCAAGGCAGACCGAUUCGACCACUCAUUUCUGCUAGCGAAGAUCUAAGCACAGUUGUUAAGGAUAGCAUGUAUGCUGGUUUCUCUUCCUCUACUGGUAAAAAGACAAGCUCUCAUUACAUACUGGGAUGGAGUUUUUCCACUGAAGGAGCUGCCCCUCCGCUCGAUCUUUCUCGACUUCCCGAAGCACCAAAAUUUGAGGAAAGUUCAUCCUCUUUCCAACCCUCAGUGAUUGCUAUUAUCGCUUCUUUAUGCGGUGUGACCACUAUUCUGUUUGCAAUACUGUUCUUCCAUGCUGUGUACAGAAAGUGGCCUCGGUCUGAGGCUCUUGAAGACUGGGAAGUGGAUUGUCCACACAGGUUUCGCUAUCAGGAUCUACAUACGGCAACUAAGGGUUUUAAAAAGAGUGAGAUAAUUGGGGCUGGUGGGUUUGGUGCGGUGUACAGAGGUAGAUUGCCUACAAACGGAAAUGAAGUUGCUGUUAAGAGGAUCACUACCAAUUCAGUCCAGGGUUUGAGAGGAUUCACUGCGGAGAUCGAGAGCCUGGGACGUUUAAGGCACAAGAACUUGGUGAAUCUCCAAGGAUGGUGUAAGAGAAAUAAUGACCUCCUCGUGGUUUAUGACUACAUCCCAAAUGGAUCCCUUGCCGGUCUCCUUUUCAGUCGGGGAAACAACUUUGUACUGAGCUGGGAGCAAAGAUUCAAUAUUGUUAAAGGCAUUGCGGCGGGGCUUUUGUAUCUGCAUGAGGAAUGGGAGCAAGUGGUGAUUCACAGAGAUGUCAAGUCAAGCAAUGUCCUGAUAGACGCAGGAAUGAACGGGCGGUUAGGAGACUUUGGUCUAGCCAGGUUGUAUGAUCAUGGAACCAUGUCGUACACCACAAAUAUUGUUGGCACGGUUGGGUAUAUCGCACCUGAAUUGACACGGACCGGUCAGGCUUCUACCAGUUCCGAUGUGUACGCAUACAGUAUUCUGCUCCUUGAAGUGGCUUGUGGCAGAAAGCCGAUUGAAACGAGUAACUUCAUCCUGACAGAUUUCGUGAUUGAAUGCCAUCAAAAGGGUAGAGUUCUUGAUGCAGCUGAUCCAGAGCUGAAGUCCGCCUUCGUGGUCAAGGAAAUGGAGGUGGUGCUGGGGUUGGGUCUUCUGUGUUCUCAUCACAAGCCUAAAGCCAGGCCAACCAUGAGAGAAGUCAUACGGUAUCUCAACUGGGAAGACAAGCUCCCAGUGAUUGAUGAUCUGGGCUCUUCUGAUUCUCCAUGUAGGAGCUCAAGAUAUAAGGGAGAGGUUUCCAUUGAAAUGAUCACAAAUUCCAUGGAUGCUGGCAGAUAGCAGAAUCCAUCUUCCUCCUGUUUCUUCCUCGUCAACAGCCUUUUUAGCUUAAAGUUUUAUGUACGUUGACAAGGGUUAAUUUUCAAGUCUUGUAAUGGUUCCAUCAUUAACCAUUUAUUCCCUCCCAAUAAUGCAGAACAGUACAUUGAUUCUUGACUUUAUCACCAUGACUUUUUGUCUGAACUCCACUUGCAUGGGUUUACCAAAAGCGCCAACACGUGGUUAUCCUAGUACAGUAAAAUAUUAUCCUCUUAGUUUUUUAUAUUUUAAAAAAAAAUUAAAAAAAAUUAAAAUUUAAAAAAAAAUUACAAAAUUUCUUUUUUUAGUAUUUUUAUAUCAUUUUAAUUUACUAGUAUUAAAAAUAAUUUUUAAAAAAUAUAAAAAUAUUAUUUUAAGAGAUUUCCAAAUAAAAUUAUUUUAAAAAUUAAUAAAUACUAUAAUCCCAUCUUUACCGACUUUAGUUCAUGACUCAAGUGAAGGCCCUUCGUCACUUAUUUUAAUAAUCAAAAUAAUUGCAUUUAUCUUUUGCUAGAAUUUUAUGUUGAAUUGGAAGUCACAUUGAAAAUAAAAUAUAUAUGACCAAAUCAUAAAUAGAAUAAUAUUUUAUUGAGUGAAAUGCAAUAAUUAUGUUGGGAUAUUGCUAUUAAUGGGCAACAACAUGUGCACCUAUCCUAAGAAGUAACGUUGUCAUUGUAAAAAAACUACAAUGAUAGUUGCACCAACCAUUGACAAAAAUGGUGCAACCCAUGUGCUGCCACCAUUUGUGCCAUAAUUAAUUGCCUCUUGUCUUACCAUUGAUGCAUAUAAAUAGAGGCAUUAUUUGAGAGCAAAAUGAGAGAGAGUAUGUGAAGAGAAUAAGAGAGAAACAGAGAAGAGUUGCAAUGGCAGCAGCUGCAAGAGCAGCAAUGUGAGCUAGGAGUUAAGUUUGAGUAAAGUAAUCCUCCUCCUCCAUGUAUUUGUUUUGUCUCCUUUCUCUAUAUCAAAUAAUAUGGACCUCUCCCGUGGAUGUAGGCGGUUUUCCGAACCAUAUUAAAUAUUUUAUCAAUGUGUUAAGCCUCUAAUGGGCAACUAUCAGUACAUCACCGGUCAGAUUCCCCAAUAAUUGGUAUCAGAGCAUAUGGUUUAAAGUGGUGUUUGAUUUUUGGUCAUAAUUGAAAGUUGUCAAAAGUGUAUUUUGACCAUACCACCGUGUAGAGGAGGAAGAGACGAGCACACUGGUGAAAAUGACAUAAAAUUCUGACAUCGAACAUGGUCGCACACGCCCACACGCGCCGACGAGGUGGCUGUCCACACGCACAGACUCGUGCCACAUGUUUUUUUUGCCCGGAUGGGCUGACCCAACCCGAAUACCAAACGACCCAACCCAUGUGACUGACCCAGAUAAGGAUGACAUCAGGGUGACGUCACCAUGGCGUCAGCAUGCACAAUUGGCAUGCCAUGUCAGCACCCAGUCAGCAGACACGUCAUUACGGUGGGACCUGCCAACCACGUCAUUAGCCAUGAGCCGAGCAGAGUUCGAGUCGAGCCACGAGCUUAGGGAUAGGAUUCUGUGUAGCGGAGUCUACGUGCAACCGAAUAUGAGAUUGAAUCUGAGUCGUCGAUUAGGCUAGACUUGUUUUGAUCAAAUCUUAGCCGUCUGAAAUGCAAUUUGGAUGAUUUCAGACUUGUUUCCAGCUAAUUUGAUCGUUCCGGAUGCAAUGGUAUUGUGCGAUCGUUAUGAUUUGAGACCGAAAGUGGUGGUGGUGAAUUAUUAUGAGAGAUUGCCCAAUCAAGAGACAACUGAAGGUCAUCAUGGUGAUCGAUGGAGAUGAAGAAGAAGAAGAUGCACAUGUUUACCUAAUUACAUGUGUUGAACUGUUAAGUGGGGAAAUUUUAAAUGCCUUGAAGGAAGGCAAAAUUAGGAUACUCUAAACACUCGAUCAUGUGGACAAUUUGAGGUGGAGAGUGAAAACUGAUGAAGACCAAUCUUGAUGAAUCUAUGCACUGGUAGUCUCGCUAGAUGUUGAGAAAUCAGAUAUAAAACUAGGUUACCCAGAUCACUUGUAAAGGAAAGCUGCAAUAAAGCUAGCAAAUGGUUGUAUAUACGGAAAGGCAGUACAAUAGAUAGAUAUGGCCUAAAAAGUUUUGGCUAGGAGAUUAGGUUUUAAACGGGACCAUCGUGACCCCUCCAAUCUUUCCUAGGAACUUGCUUAGUUGAAGGAUUAUCCAUACGAUACUAUUUUCAUAUAUGUAAUAGUUUGUAAUGAAAUAGGUGAAGACUAGCAUGAUGACAGCACAAGGGGAACAGUUGGGUUCCGUGUGAUCAAGGAUCUGAUGGAAUGGUGAUUUCUCUAAAGAAGUUAGAUUUGGUGAAUGUAAUUUCUCGAGGGAAGAAUUGAUGAAGACCUUGAUAAUGGAAGAGAAAUACAACAAAGGGAUAAAGAUUGACACCCUAUUUUGACUUGGAUAGGUGUUCUGACAGGAUGAGUUGCUGUCAAACAUAAGCAAGGAAUAGGGAGAAAUCUGAAGAAUAGAAAUUGCACGAGGGCACACGGAGAUUGUGCAGGAGUACCCGUAGGAUCCAACGAGGUACUGUAAGGAGACAACAAGUGCAAGGAGAAGAAGAGUUCCCAGAUGAAACUCAGAGCAGAGACUGUGUGAAAAGUUGUACAACAGGAAGUCUCUUGUGCUCUUAAUAAAGACAACAGGCGAAGACCUUUCCAAUGCAUGAAAUGAUGAAAGAGAGUUGUUGUGAAGGCACCUAAUUAAUGGGGUGCUAAUGCCUGUGAUAAAAGGCGACCCGCCUAUAAUGAAAAGUGAAGAGACUAAAGGAAGUUGGUGUAGGUGGAGCUAUCAAGCAGAAAGGUGUAGAAGCUCCAAACAUAGAAAUCGAGGUGGAGGAUUGCGAGGACUGUACCACAACUUUCUCUUUCUAUAUGAUUAGUGGCAGUGAUCUCUCCCAGGUCCAUAUAGUGGUAGAGAAUCUUAGAGCAACUACAGCCAUCCCCGAUGAAGGAGGAUGAGACCGCUCCACAAUGAGCGGGGACACCUUAGAUAGAAGGUGUGAGGGCCACAAUGUGAGCCCAGAUUUAGACCGACGCAAGAUGACAGGUGAAGACACCUUAGAGAAAGUGUGAGGGCAAUGACCUCAAUUUUUUUUUUCUAGAAAGCUAAGACAAUUUCCUACAACUUUCAUGUUUUCAAGUGGUCUCAGUUCUGAUGCUAGAAAUUUCGUUUUUUUCAGACAAGAAGAGAAGGAUUUUCACCAAGUCAGGAGUUGGCAACCCAUUCAGCAGUUAGUCAUCAAAUCAAUAAUUUCAAAUUUUGGCCUAUAAAAGGAGGCAUUUGCCAUGCAUUUAGGGUCUUGAUUGUUCAGAUCAAGAACUUGCUCUUCCUCUCUCUUUAUAUUUUUUUUGUAAUCUUUAAGUUUUGUUUUCAUUAAUAUCUUGUUUAUGCUUUUCAUUUCCUCUACUUUACUUAGUUAACUUGUAUUUUCUUUAUGUUCUUAUUUUGUUUAUUUAUGUUUCUCUUCUUCAUUAUGUUUAGCUAAGUUUAUUAUGUCAAGGUGAAAAGGUUACACUAAUGGUGUAAGAAUAAGUAUGGUGUAAACUCAACAUGGACCUUAAUGUUUAAUACUAACAUAUCUUAUCUUUUUAUCUUACUAAUUCUUAAUACCUUGCUUGUUAAAUGGUUAAUCUAGAUUUGUGUUGUAUAACACUUGAUACAACAAAUGCUUGGCACUCUCAUAGCUCAAUCGUAUGGUAUUACCUACACUUGUGCUAUGAAAGGAACUUGAUUUGUUGUUAACAUAAGUUAGCAUCAUGAAUUCCUGACAAUAUUUAAAAGUUUGGUUUUACUUAAAUAAGAUAAUUAAUAUAAUCAUGUUAAUAAUUAAUGACAAAUCAUCUGAUUGGAACCUCCUUUGUGUGUGGUUUUCAAUUUGAGUAAUAAGAGUUUAUACUAUACUUGUUUGAAAUACCAUUAGUGGAUCCUCUAACCUUGACACUUGUUUUUAUUAUUGUUUAAUUCUUACAUUGAUCUUCCAUAUUAAAAUUCUCAUCAACUUCUUCCUCUUCCUCUUCCUCUUCUUCUUUAUUAUCAUCAUCAUCAUCAUCAUCAUCAUCAUCAUCAUUAGUAUUAUAAUAUUACUAUUACUACUGUCAUAACCCAAUUUUUGAACAAAUAAUAAAAAUUAAAUAUAGUUAACAAUUGGGUUAAGACAACAAAUCUUGAAGUUUAUGGAUAAAAUUAUCAGAUUUGAGAAUAAAUUGAUCAGAAAUUGAAGAAUUAAUAAGUUUGGAAAUUUACUUAAAAUUUGAAUUAGUUUAAUUAAUGAAAUUAUAAGAAUUAAUAAGUUUGUGGACUUAAUUAAACUUUGAUUUAAUUAAUUAAAUAAAUUCAGGGACUUAAUUGAAAUUUAUCCAAAAAGGGCAAAAUUGAAAGAAUUAAUUAAGGACCAAAUUGAAUAAUCCAAGAAUUAAGGACUGUUUUGUAAAUAAUGCACCAAUUUAGGGAUUUAAUUGAAAUUUAUCCAUAAAGGGCAAAAUUAAAAGAAAUUUUUAUUCAGGGGUCCAAUUGCGAAAUUUCCAAAGUUCAGGGGUCAAAUUGAAAAUUGUUAAACGGUGCCGUUUGCAAUAAUACUGUUCGUCAUCCCUUCCAUUUCGCCAGGGCAGCCGAUUCAACAGGAAAAUCCCAGUGCAUCAGAUCCAAAUCGUGACCAUGUCUUCUGCCACGAUUGCCACAAUCCCGUAGGUGGAGGCGAUGGUUUUUUGAAGGUCUCUGGCCUUAUAAAAGGCAGGACGAAGAAAACACCAAGGAGAGCUAAAAAAAUACAGAGCAGAAAUACAGAGUAAAAAAAGACAAAAAUCAACCCAGAAAAACAGAGAAAAACAGAGUACAAAUCCAAAUACAGAGAGAAAGAGAGAACAAGAGGGCAGCACACAGGGAGGAGAAUUAUCCUUGAAACUGUUCUUGUACCUGCAAACAAAGCAAAAACCAGAUUCAGUCAAAAAAAAAAAAACACUUACAGCAAACCGGCAUCUUCUUUGUAGUUUUAAAAAUUUACUGAGAAAUCAAGAAGGAAAGCACCGACAAGUGAUCGCAGAAGGAAGAUCAGAGGAAGCAGUAGACGAGAAAUCAUCAUUAACGCUGCAAGCACCUUCGGUCUCCAGAAGCAGGUAUGACGGGAUCCCCUUUGCAUCUUCAUUUUAAAAAGUGGUGAUUAGUGUUACAAGAACACUGUGUGCAGGUAAUUUAAUUAUCUUCACCAGUGUUCGUGCACGCGUGCCUCUAAUUUUUGCCCAGCCGGGUCACUGGCCCAAGCCAGUGACCCGGGCGGGGCUGGCUGGGCCCAGCCCAGCCCUGUGGGUUGAGCUGAGCCCAGCCACCAAGAUACAUAUGCUGGGCUGGGUUUUAGCCCAGUCCAGCCCCAAAAAAUAAAAUAAAAAAAAUAAAAAUAAAAAUAAAAAAAUAAUAAAAAAUGCACAUGCAUGAAUAAAAAUAAUGUAAAUUUAUUGGUUUAUUCACUGACGCCAGAGUCAGGAAUAAAAAACACCGGUUUAAAUUUAUAUUAUUUUUAUUCGUUGUAUUUUAUUUUAUUUAGAUGAAUAAAAAUAAUGUAAAUUUAUUGGUUUAUUCACUGACGACAGAGUCAGGAAUAAAAAUAUCAGUUUAAAUUUAUAUUAUUUUUAUUCGUUGUAUUUUAUUUUAUUUAGCUAGAAAAAUAAAAAAAAAUAUGUGCAUGCGUAAAAAAUAAAUUUAUUAUUUAUUUAUUUAUUUAUUCACCAGUGCUAGAGUCGGGAAUAAAAAAUAUUGAUUUAAUUUAUUUUAUAGCUACGUAAUAUUUAUCAACGCCAGAGUUGAAAAUAUUCGUAGUUAAAUAUUCACUGGCGCUAGAGUCAGGAAUAUUAUAAGUAAUUUUUCAUAGCAUAAACUAAUAAACAUUUAGCAAUUUAAGACGAAACUAGCAAUGUAGCCUGUCUUAGGCAGGACGUUUAAUGGGUGAUAAUAUCUUUCAUUUUACGUAACCAGUCCCGAACCAUAUAAUCUUUGUUGACCAGUUGGAGUUCCUAAUGACCAUAAUACUAGGUGGCGACUCCUUAAACAAGACCAUUCCCCAUUCAAGUAAAGAAUGUCAGAAAUCCGUUCUUUCCUAAAGAUUUAAAAAAUUUUAAGGUCGCCGCGAUGUCGGGUGCGACAACUACUAUUAUUAGUAGUAGUAUUAUAACUAUUACUAUUACUAUUAUUGUUGUUAUUAUUGUUGUUGUUGUAUUAUUGUUUUUUAUAAUUUAUACAAUUAACCUCCAUGUGGUUCGACCCCGGUUUUACCGGGUUAUUUAUUACUUCGACACUCCUGCACUUGGGAGAAGACAUCAAUCUUUUAGUCGUGUCAAGUUUUUGACGCCGUUGCCAGGGAGGUAAAUUCUUAUACAAAUUAUAGUAUUUAUUUUAUUUUUUCUUUUCUAUUUUCUUGUAUUUUGAGGAGACGGAGGCUACAUGAUUGUGCAAACCCCUUUGGUUUAAUAUUGGAAAUGGAAGAGGUGGAGCUACAAGAUUUGGCGAGGAAGAGAAAAGUUGGAGAAAUUAGGAGAGAAUGGCUGGCCUUCAAUUGUAUGCAGGCUCUUUUCCAGAAAGAGAAGUAGAAGGCUUGUAUUGGACUUUCUUAGGAUGGCCAAGGAAAUAAUAACCAGUAUUUAUGUCUAUAGCAAUAUCAAUAAUGAAGGUAUAUUAACAUUUGGUGAUGGAGGAGCAUGGGAAUUAUUCCAAACCAAUUGAUAGAGCUUCUAUUAUCAAGCCUACUAGUUUAGUAAGGCUCACCAACAAAACACAAAAUGUUGCAGGGCAUGCAUUUUAUUCCAAACCAAUACAACACACAAAAAGAACAGGGAAAGAGCUCCCUGCAAGCCAAAAUGAUCAAAAAACUACUCAUCUAAAAUAAAAACUCUUAUACAAUCCAUCUCAAAACAUCCUCAGCAAGUCUAAUGUUCCUUUCCUUCUAUACAGUAUAAAUUAUGGAGCAUUAAAACCAAUAUAUAUAUAUUUGCUUUAACCCAUUGAAUCUCGUUAUUCUUCUCAUCGAUAUUUUUUAUUGAUAUAGCAUAAAUGAAGAUAUCAAUCGGUCUGUUUGUGUCUUUGAUCACUUAAAAUUUGUCUACAUGCUACGGUUUCUGUUCAAAAUUAAUAUAAAUUAUAUUUUAAAUUUUAUCUAAAAAUUUAAGCUUUUAGGUAAGAUAGUUAUUUGACAUGGUAUCAGAGUCUUGAUAACCAAGUGAUCAUGAGUUCGAAUCUCAUCAUUCUUAUUUAUUUGAUAAAUAUUAAGUACAAGGUAAUGUCGGUUUAUAUAAGUUUCAAGUUUAAAAGGCUUUCACUUGAAGAUAUAUGUUAGAAAAAUAUAAAUUAUAUUUUAAAAACUCUUCUAAAAAUUUAAGUUUUUAGAUAAAAUAAUUAUGAAUAUUUAGAGGAAUUCUAUGCGUUUUGUACACAUAAGUUAUUUAUGACAAAAUGGAAAAACCUGUUCCAGCUAUCUUCUUGUUAGAAAUCUUAGGAAAAUGACUAUUAAGUCCUCCAAUUACAAUCCUAUAUCAUUGAGCCCUCAAGUAGUAAUUUUUAUCAAUUGAGUUCUUAAAGUAUGCACUCUUCUCAAUUAUAGCCUUAUAUGUAAAGCUUUAAGAAAAAUAAUGUCAAAGUGAAGAGUCUUAUUUUAUUGCAUAAAACAUAUAUGUUGACAGAAUUCGUGAACAAGAUAUGAAUGAAAGGAUAUAAUCGAGAAAUCUGGAUAUUUUCAGGGUCCAAAUGUGAAAACUUGGGACUUUAUUUAGAGAUGAUUAAUUAGGUAUUGCCCUGUGGGCAUGUUAUGGAAAGUGUUAGAUUAGGAAAUAUUGUAUUAUUAAUGUAUUGAUUUAUCGUGUGUAGUAUGCUACACCGUAACACAUGUACUGCUCUAAUACUAUAAAUAACAGAGGUGGUUAUCUCAUUAGGUUAAGCCUCUCAAUUAUCACAAACCUUGUUUUAUUACAUGUACCUUGUAAUAAAACUUCUUGUUUGCCGCACUUUGUGUGUCUGUGUUGGUGAGAUAAUCUCUCUUCCAUGGUUCUCUAAAUAACUGAAAAAUGACUUAUCGAAGAACAACUGUCUUCGUGGCGUCAUCCUUAUACUUCUCAUUCACGAAUCAAUAUUCGUUGGGUGGGGGUCUCCGUUUUCAAUAGUGUUGGUGCCUAGGUACAAGUUAUCUUUGUGUCACACCCCUAUCAAACAUGAUUUACUUGGCUUUUCGGGAAUUGCUGUCUUUGCGUGUGGGUUGCGUGACCACGUGAUCACGAGGUUUGCAUCAUUUGGUAUCAGAGCUUGGCUCCAUUAAUCAGGUUAUAUCCUUCUGAAAUUUAUGUUCUUGUUGUUUCCGCAAAUAUUCCUUAGUGUCCAUUUUCUUCUUCUCCUUGAUUUUGCAGCAUAUCAAAAAAAAAAAUUAGUUAUUUUAUUUUGUUACAGUUCAAAAUAUAUCGGUAGCAAAAAAAAAAAAAAAAAAAAUCGUUCAAAAAGAUAUUUAUUGGUUUCUGCUGCAGAAAACUUAACAAGGGCAAAUUGGACCAAAUCAACUCGGAAUUAGCUCAAAUUUGAUACACUUAUUACGGGGGCCCUUAUCGCAUGAAAUAUUAAGUUUGAGGUCAAUUGGAUAUCGUUCGAUUUGGUUUUCAAUUUCAGGUCUAAUCAUGUCUGAUUCAUAUUGUUUUUGCGUCAAUAUAUCAAACCUUAUCGUAAAUUGCUCAAACUUCAUAUUCUGUCUAUUUGGGUUGAUAUUGCACUAUAUAUUAAAGUUUAGCUCAAUUAGACAUCAUUGACUUUAGGUUCCAGAUUCAGACUUAACUCGUCAUAAACGAGUCUGUUUUGCGUCAAGUUUUGAAAUUCGCUUUCUUUCUGUUGUUUUCAUUUUUUUUCUGCUGCAUAUUUGGGUGUUGUUUCAUCAUAUUUUGCUUAUUUCGUUUCUAUUUUUAUUCGAGUCUUCAAUUUCGUUUGUAUUUCGGAUAGAUUCGUUUGCUACUCGUGAGACUAUCAUCUCAGUUUUGUUUUUGCUUGUUUUCUGGUUUUUAUUACUUCUUGAGUCAUAUAUACAUAUUUGGAUUGCGCUGCUAAGAUUGGUUCUAUUUGGUGCUGGUUUUAGUUCUGCAAAACCUCAAGAAGGUGAGACGAGAGGUGUGAGCGUGUGAGGAUAUAAGAGUGUUUGAGUGAAACACGAGCGAUGCGAGGAUUUUUUUUGUACCACUAAUCAAUUUUUACAGGUACUAUCAUGUCAGAACAAAACAACACACCGUGCCCUCCCGAUGUAGAACUUAAAUUCCAAAUGCAAGCCAUGAUGAAGGUUGUUGUAACCCAUUUUCGGGUCCCCACAAAAAAAAUAAAAAUAAAAUAAAAUAAAUAGCCAAAGGAGGUUAGAAAAAUAACGGAAGGCAGAAGCACUCAGAAAAUGGUCAGAAAAAUCGGUAAAGGAGGUUAAAAAUACAAAGAUGGAUUUUUGACAAUAUAUUCUUAAAUGAUAAGAGCCCUGGUGGAUAAGAAAAUUUGAUUUUUGAGGAGAAAAGUCCAAAUUUGGAGAUUUAUGGACUUAAUUGGAUUUUUAAAUUGAAUUUAUAGAGGAUUUGAGUGCAAGAAAAAUUGAUUUUUAAGUCAAUUUGGGCUUUAAUUAGAAGAAAUUUAAGUUCUGGGGCCAAAAUAUAUUUUUAGGAAUUUAUUGGGUCAAAUCAGGGGCUUAAUUGCAUAAAUAUUGAAGUUUAAUGGCCAAUUAGAGACUUAAUUGAGAAAAUCCGAAACGCGGGACCAAUUUGGAAAAGGCGUGUAAAUAGGGGGGCUGUUUUGGAUUGAUCUGGGGUCAAAUUAAAGAAAUUGAAAACUGGAGGACUAAUUUAAACAUUGGCGCAGGGAAACCGGGCGACACGUCGCCUGUUACUGUUCACUUUCUUCCUCAGAAAGCUGCCUGAGUGGCUGUUUUCCAGGCGCAUUUUCCGGAUCGUGUGGCCUCCAAAUCCGACAAAACUUGCACCAACAUGUCCACAUGAAACCCCUUUAUCCCGGAGAAUGGUCCGGUCGGUUUGGAAAAGUUAGAAACGGCUCCGUUGAGUGGCUCAAAAUGGCCACCUCGGGCAGUUCACAGCCUGGAGCUGCCAAAUUUGGCAGCUCGAGGUGCACACUUUGAGCCAACAGUUGAGAUGUUUCCCAACUGAAUCAAGGGCUGCAAUUUUUCCCCAAUGUAGACAAUGCUGCCCUUUUGCACCGCCUAUAAAUAGAAUCUAUGUUGAAGACCUGAGGGGGGAGAAAAGGACACACAAAGUCGGACGAAAACCAGCCAUUACUGCCCAGUUUUCCUGCAACCAGCCUCUUUUUCUCUUUCCCUCUCCGCCGUUGGCCCUCAUCAACCACCACCAUCAUCGCUCGUCUUCUCACCGAAAUCUCCACCUCAAGAAGCCACCAAAACAUCACACACGGUGGUUGCAUCAUCUUCUCCCCAGACGUAGCAGCACCAUUGAAGAAAAGGCAGCAACCCGCGCCUCUGCUGCGAGAAGAAGAAGAACAAAGCCAUCACCGCCAGCUACCACUAUCUUCCUAGUCGACAACAGCACAGUUGGGAGCAGAAGGAGAAAAGGGAAGCAGAGGAGAACAUAGCUGAAGAGGAACACAGAGAAGAAAAGGAAGAAAGGCUGAACACCGCACUCUACAGUCACCGACCACCGUCCCAAGUCACUCCCCGACCACCACUACUAGCGCCUCCACAAAGCUGCCAUAGAGAGGGAAGAACAUUGCUGACUGAAGGAAACCAAGAGAAGAAGCAACGCCUCUGUAAAGGGGAAGAAGAAGAGAAAACAGCUGCUGUCAUCAAGCUUCCCAACCACUGCCACCGUCAGAACCACCAUGAGCCCCCAUUGGCUUCCUGUCCUCCGCCACCAGCAUCACUGGGAGUGUUCGCCAUCGACUUCAGCAUCGUUUCUGCCCCCAGGUUUGCACCCCCUUCGUCGCUGUGCAUGCACCAUUUCCUUGCAUUUCACUGUUCAAUUGAAAUAUAAUUCACUCGAACAGUGAAAUGCUAAUUCACUGUUCACAUCAACUAUAAUUCACGUGAAUAGUGAAAUGCUAUCCAUUGUUCGCAUCAAACAUAUGUCACUGUUCACAUGAGGCCUGCUGGGUUCAGCCCAGCCACGUGGGCCCCGCUGGGUCCAGCCCUAAAAAAAAUAUAAAAAAUAAAAAUUCUUCAAAUUUUAUUUCAAAGAAUUUGUGAUUUUUCUGUAAUUUUAUUACUGUAUUUUGGUCAAUAUCGGUUUGUAUUUUUAUAUUGUAAAGAUACAAAUCCGGUAUUAAAAUACCCGGUUUUCGUCAACAAAAAAAAAAUAUUUAUUUAAAAAAAUGUUUUGUUUUCAUGCAUACGGCCAAUACCCUAACAUGUUUUGAAUGUUUUAUAUAUAUAUAUAUAUAUAUAUAUACAAAAAUAUUGGAAGUUUUAAAAAUGUGUUUUUGCAUGGAUUUCUUAAACAUCAAAAAAAAAAAAAUUGUUUUCUUGCAUAUCUGGAUUUUACAACAUGUUUGUAAAACUCCAAAGGGUAUUGGUCAAUAUUCCAAAAACUAUAAAAAUCUUAUUUUUGGGGGAAUUCAUCUAUUAUUCACCGCUAAUGUUUGGAUAAAGAAAUCCUUGAAGGACGAAUAUCCAAAAUAUUAUUGGGAGUAAUAAAUCCGCACACAUUCUUGAAAGAAGCCUUGAUUAUAAUCGAGGACAUUUCAAAACUUCAAAUUUUUUUACUCCAAGGUUUACGAACCUUGAAAGUAUGAAAUACUAAAGCAAAAGGAGGCUUUUAAAGCGCUUUGAAUUUCCUUAGAUUUCUAAAUUUUUUGUCUCUACUUCUUGCGAUUUACGAGUCGCAAACUCUUGAAAUACUAAGGGAAAAAUGAGCUUUCAAAGCACAUGGAAUCUCCUUGGAUUUCUAUCCAAAUAAAUUUUAUUUGAAUCAAACCUAGGAAAAUUGAUGGGAUUAGAAAACACCAACACCAUAGCAAUUAUAGAGCAAACCAAACACCAAGCAGCUUACCUUAGGUAGGGCGUACUAGGGGUGCUAAUACCUUCCCUUUACGGAACCAGUCCCUUACCUUAGAAUCUCUGAAAGACCAGUUAGGGUUCCUAGUGACCGAAAUACUAGGUGGCGACUCCAAAGAACCAAAUCAGUAAAACAAAACGAAAAAAUCGCCAUUCGAUCGCCGCAUUGGAUUUUUUUUAGGGUGCGACAGAAUGACGACUCCACUGGGGACCCUUGGACUAAGCUUGGUUAUUGUUUUUUUAUUAUGCUAUGUGUUGUUGUUUUUCUUUUUUUACUAUGAAUGGUUUGCUUUGUUUAAAAGCUUUAGCAUACAUCUUUACAUUCUAUCAUAUAUGGCAUAGUCAUGCAUCACUUUAUUAUUAUUAUUAUUAUUAUUAUUAUUAUUAUUAUUAUUAUUAUUAUUAUUAUUAUUAUUAUUAUUAUUAUUAUGUUUUGGAGGGCACACACAUGUAACUUUAACAUUAAGUGGGGGACUAGCAGCUUGCCUUAUGACUUGAGUCAAGGUUUAAGUUUGUGUAAACCCCAACUCUUUGCUGAGUGUUUAGACUGAUUGUGAUUGGUACACGUACCAUCCCACUAUCUGCUAGACCUCCAUAUCGCCUUUACGAGGGUGAUCACUAGACCAGCAAGAGACCCUUUUUUAGAGACUCAGUAGUAAACAUACCCAAUGUCUCACAUAAAGGAACUAGAGCCUAUCCUUAGGAUGUAUGCUCCAUAAUAUCUUUUUGCAUCCAAACAAGCCUAAGCUCAAAGCAUCUUGAAUCUCAAGACCUUUAUUCAAAAGCUAGCCAAGGGAGAGAUGUUCUAGAAUUGGGAGACCCAAGAAGCUCCAUUGGUGUUCAAAAUUUAAUCAACAAUGCUUGUUUGAUCAUGAUAUUGUGUUGUUUUCCUUUUUCAACUUUUUAAAUCGAGGUUCCAAAUGCCUUUCCAAAAGUUCAUCUUGGUGUUUUUACACAUCAUUUUUCUUUCAAAACGAAUCUUCCAUAACUACACCUGCACUUUACACUGAGAAUGAAUGGCCGGACUUUAAAGAAUCCAUAUUAGUUGUAGAAGAGGAAGAAUGGUAGGAAAAUAACAUUAGGGGAUUCACAAAAACAAACAACAUGAACAAGCUUGGAAACCCGCUACAAGGUCAUGCCGUUUGGGUUAAAGAACGUUGGGGCACCUACCAAAGGGCUAUGUUGACUCUAUUUCACGACAUGAUGCAUAAAGAGAUUAAAGUAUACGUGGAUGACAUGACCUAGAGAGGGAGAGAAUCAUGUCCAAAUAUUGAAGGAAUUAGUUGAAAGACUAAGAAAGUACAGGUUGAGGUUUAACCAUGCAAGGUGUUCAUUUGGGGUGAAAUCUAGGAAGUUGUUGGAAUUUAUGAUGAGUGACAAAGGGAUAGAAGUGGACCCCGAUUAAGUAAAGGUUAUUCAACCUAUGCCAACUCCCAAGACUAAGAAGGAUGUAAGGAGGUUCUUGGGAAGGUUGAAUUACAUUGCUCAAUUUAUAUCCCAAUUAACCACGACUUAUGACCUCAUCUUCAAUUGUUAAGGAAGAAGAAUCUUGGAAUUUGGAAUAAGAAUGUGAAGAAGCUUUCACGAAAAUCAAGCAAUACCUACUGAAUCCACCCCUAUCUAUCGAGUUGAAUUGAAAAACGGCAAGUUCUACUAGCUGAGUACAACAUAGUAUAUAUGACAAGGAAAGCCAUGAAUGUCAUUGCCGAUCACCUAGCUGACCAUGUUGUGAAAGUUUAUGGGCUGUUAAAAUUUAAUUUUUCGGAUAAAGAUAUGCUUUCAGUCGAGGAAGGGAAAAUCAGAUUGUUGGAUUAUGUACUUUGAGGGUGUUGUGGUAAUAGAGUAGGGGCAGUGCUAAUCUUUCCUAAUAAGAAACAGUAUCCGGUUUUAGUUAAGUCGCAAUUUGGGUACACUAACAACACAACUGAGUUUGAAGCUUGCAUUCUCGAUUUUAGAGGUUGCAUUAGAGCUAAACAUCAAAAAGAUAGAUGUGUAUUGGAGACUCGAUUUUGAUUAUUUGUCAAAUGAAAGGAAAAAGGGCAAACCAAGGACGAGAAGUUGAGACCUUUCCAAGAAUACUUGUCUAAAUGGGCUAGAGAAUUUGAGGAAAUAAAGUUCACCCAUCUAGGAAGGGAAGGAAACCAUUUUGAUGUUUUGGUCACACCAGUUUCUAUGGCUAGAAUAGACUUUGGGCACAAGGUACAACCAAUACACAUUGAUAUAAGAAAUAACUUAGCUCAUUAUUGCUCAGUUUGAAAGAGAAAUAUAUGGAAACCCUUGGCACUAUGAUAUCAAGAAUUUCAUCCAAAACCAGACAUAUCCCAUGGGGGCAUCCAAAAACCAACAAGAAGACGUUGAGGAGGUUGGCAAUGGAUUUCUAUCUUGAUGGGGAAACUUUGUAUAAAAAAUCAUCUGAUGAAACUUUGUUGAGAUGUUUCGAUGACGUGAAAAAAAGUGGUGAAGAAAUUUAUGGAAAGAUAUUUGAUCUAUCGAUAUGGUCCACUAGAAAAAUUAAUAAAUGCCUAGAAUUUCAACGGCAAGAUGAUAAUGGAGCUCUGCACUAAAUGGAAAAUCAAGCAUUCCAAUUCUUCGCCAUAUAGACCAAAGAUGAAUGGUGCGGUAGAAGCUGCUAACAAGAAUGUCAAAAAGAUUAUUCAGAAGAUGGUAGUCACCUAUAAGGAUUGGCAUGAGAUGUUGUCAUUUGCCCUUCAUGCAUAUCGCACCGCAGUUCGAACCUUAAUAGGAGCCACCUCGUAAAUGUUGGUAUAUGGAAUGGAGGUGGUGAUGCUUUUAAAAGUGGAAAUCCCCUCAUUAAGAGUAUUGAUAGACUUUGAGCUAGAAGAGUUAGAAUGGGAGAAGGUUAAAUGUGAACAGUUGAAUCUGAUAAGUGAAAAGAGGAUAGCCGUAAUCUGUCAUCAUCAACUUUAUCAAAGAAGGAUGGCCAAAUCAUACAACAAGAGGAUUCGACCUUGAGGAUUGCACGAAGGAGAUCUUAUAUUGAAGAAAAUGUUGUCUUUUACCAGGAGAAGAUCAGAGUAAAUGGACGCCAAACAAUGAGGGCCCUUUAGUGGUAAAGAAAGUGUUUUUGGGAGAAGCUUUAUUGUUAUCUAGAAUGGAUGGAAAAGAGCUAGUUAGGCCCGUGAAUUCUGACUCUGUAAGGAAAUAUUACGCUUGAUGUAUUUCAUAAUUUCCCAAUCAAUAAAAUUAAAGUUCGGCCCAUGAAUUCUCUUUGUAAAGAACCUUUUUUUUUCAUAAAACAUAUGAUCUCAUAUCAUUUGAAAUCUUUUACUUAAAAGAACUUUUUUACGCAUGACCAAGGAGAUGACUCCAUCAAUUGGAGAAAACCAAAUCAAAUCUGCUUGAUAUAUUUUUUGCACACCACACUAGGGGGCAAGAAGUGCACGAAAUGCAUAUAGAGAUCUAAAACCAGCCAUACAUUCCCCCUCCUCGUCAUUUUCCUUUUUCUUCCUUCCCUCCCCGCCAACUGAAGCCAUUACAACCAUCUCCCAAACCAACCCUCUCUCAGCCUCACCCCAUCAGCAGCUCUCUUUCUCCACAGACAAAGCCUAGACAUCACCACCCUCACUCUUUGAAGAAGGAAGAGAACGGGACCUUCGAAGAAGGGAAGAGUUUUAAUUAUUGCAGCAACAACAGCAAGUUUCCUCCUUCGGCACCAGCGACGACCAUACCAGUAGAUGAGCAGUGCAACUCCUUCUUCUCCAGCACAUCAUCAUCGUUUAUGAAAUAAUAUGAGCCGUCCAGCAUGCACUCCUCUAAUAACAGCAGAUUUUUCAAUCAUGAACCGCAGCUUUGUCUUUAACCGUGGGAGUCUUUUAGUUCAAAACCGUGAUCAUCAACAAGAGUACUCCUAAGUUCCAGCAUUCUUGAUUUUCCAUUUUUUUUCAUUGAAGCAGCGACGACGGGUGCUCCUCAGCCAAACCUUCCCUCAGCAACCAUCUCUUUUCAGUAGAGGCAGGGCGGACACGAACAGGAGACUAGGAGAGAGUGGACUGAAGACACAAACCAGAGAAUAAAAAGACUGAGGAGAACGAACAAAAAAGAAAAGAAACCACAGGAGCAUACAACAUAUAUAGACAGAAACGGAGAAGGAGAGAAGGUAGCUUUGGCAAACAAGCAUACCUUCGCCAUCGUCUUCGUCAUCAGGCAGACUCCGAGAGAGAAAGUGAAAAACAGGAAGAAGCAUAGCGGAGAGCGUCCGUCGACCAACUUAACAUCUUCAUCGCCAACGUCUCCGGCUUCGCCUCCCUGCACAGGUAAGUUCUUUGCAUUUUCCCUUUCUGCAUUACAAUAGCUGUGAAUUAUAAUUCACGCUACAAUAGCUGUGAAUUAUAAUUCACUUGCUAUGCUACUGUAGCAAGUGCUAUAUAUUCCUAGCCUAAAAAAAAAAAAUAAAAAAACAAAAAAAAAAGGAUAAAAAAAAAAAAAUAUAUGUAUGCACGAAUAAAAAUAAUGUUAAUUUAUUAGUUUAUUCACUGACGCCAGAGUCAGGAAUAAAAAUACAAUUUAAAUUUAUAUUAUUUUUAUUCGUUGUAUUUUAUUUUAUUUAGCUAAAUAUAUAAUAUAUAUAUAUAUAUAUAUAUAUAUAUAUAUAUAUAUAUAUGUGUGUGUGUGUGUGUGUGCGCGCGCGCGCGCGCAUGCGUAUAAACAAAUUUAUUGUUAUUUAUUUAUUCACUGGCGCCAGAAUCAGGAAUAAAAAAGAUAUUGAUUUAAUUUAUUUUCUAGCUACGUAAUAUUUACCAACGCUUGGAAAUGAAUUGAUUUAAACCUGUUUCAGCUGUCUUCUUGUUAGAAAUCUUGGGAAAGCGACUAUUAAGUCCUACAAUUACAAUCCUAUAUCAUUGAGCCCUCAAGUAGUAAUUUUUAUCAAUUGAGUUCUUAAAGUAUGCAUUGUUCUCAAUUAUAGCCUUAUAUCUAAAGCUUUAAGAAAAAUAAUGUCAAAGUGAAGCAUCUUUUUUUAUUGCAUAAAACAUAUAUGUUGACAGAAUUCGUGAACGAGAUAUGAAUGAAAGGAUAUAAUCAAGAAACCUGGAUAUUUUCAGGGUCCAAUUGUGAAAAUUUAGGACUUUAUUCAUAGAUGAUUAAUUGUUUGGAGAUUAAUUUGUUAUUUGCCUCCCCCCUUUUUCUUUUUUUUUGCAUUCCUUGCAUGAAAUUUUGUUUGGAGAUUAAAAAAAAUCAGACCUUUUCCUUUAAUAAAUUAGAUUUUUAACUAAAAAUAUAAAAUUUUAAAUUUUGGCUCCCUCUAAUUUUGUUUUUCUAAUUUGACUCUCUCAAAUUAAAAUUUCUAGCUUCGUCCCUGAUUGGACGAAUUGAUGGAUGCCGAUGAAGCGUUUUGCACGGGAACUGCAGUAGGUGUUGCCCCUGUGGGCACGAUUACAUAUCAGGAUUGCUACUGUCAGAAUUGAAAAGGAAUUAUUAAAGGCAAGAGCCUAAAAAUGCCUCUUUUUAUUUCAAUUAGUAACUUUUUAUUUUUUGCAAUUAAUAUCUCCUUUUUAUUUGCAAUCUCAUCUUUUCAAAUUAAAUUAGCAUUGUUUUAUAUAUUAAUUUUUUUUCAUAUAUAUAUAUAUAUAUAUAUAUAUAUAUGCGCGCGCGCGCAUAUAUGUUUUAAAAUUAUUUUUUAUUUAAAAAUAUAUUAAAAUAAUUUUUUAUAAAUUUUUUUAAUUUUUAAUAUUCAAACAUCAAAACCGUUGAAAAUGAAUUAAUAUCUUGUCAAAUGUAUCGUGAUUUUGAAAAGUAAUUUUCAAAAACCUCAUGAAACCAAGAUGGGAAUAGGGUUGUGCAAGCUCGCAAGCAAUUAAUAUCCCAUCAACUCGAUCACGCGUAUGAAAGAGAUGCAUGUGAUUCCUGAUAACUAAACUAUCAAUUGAAUUGGAAAGAGAUUGGAAUCAUUGUUUGCGCAGGACAAAAAUGUUUGCAAUAGCGGUCAAACGGGCUAACAGGAACACACCCUCCUCCCUUCAUUUAUUCCUUACAAGACUUUAUGCAAUUUAAUGGAACCCUAAUAUUGUAGUUCUAGAACCAGUAGAAUCAAUGAUUUUACUUUUAGGAAGAAGGAAGAGUUAGAGAAGUUGCUUGUUGGGCAAUCUUACGUGUGGUUCUUGUUCUCAAUCUUGCUUGAAAGGUUUUUGCUUGUUCACAAGUGUCAAAAUCACUUUGAAAUUCCUACACUCCAUCGCCGGCUAUCGAGGUUGACGACAAGGGAAUUUUCAAGUCUUUCCAACCAGCCAAAAAUGCCACGAAUAAUCUUCUUUGGGUAUAUUCGUGCAUUCCAAUAUCCUUUUGUUUAGCCAACUUUGAUAUUUGAUUUAUUCUUUGCCUGUCCUACACCACAUGUUCUUGAGAUAGGCCAAUUUCAAGUCUUUAUAUCUUCCCAGUCAUCUUGGGGGGUUCUCACGAGCUCCAUCUUUUUGCUUCAACACUAUUCUUGUCUCAAAAGUUAGUUUCCCAGUUGCAAGUUGAUCUUAACUAUCAAGAUUCCAUGGCCUCCACGAUUUGUUUGUUUGUGUUGUUCUUGUUCUCUUCUAUGAUUGUUGGGGCUCAAAGUGUAGACUUCAUCUUCGAAGGAUUCAAUGAAAGUGAAAAAAACCUCUCAAAUGAUGGAGCUUCUAUUAUCACUCGUAGUGGUUUACUAAUGCUCACCAACAAAACACAAAACGCUGUAGGGCAUGCAUUUUAUUCCAAACCAAUACAGAUGCUUGACACAAGUUCACAUUCAUCUCCAAAUGCUUCAUCUUUCAGCACAACCUUUGUCUUUCAGAUAGUCUCUCCAAAAGGAAAGGGAGGCUACGGCCUUGCUUUCGCCUUAGCUCCCUCCGACCAGCUUCCCGGGGCUGCCGCGGAGCAUUACCUUGGUCUUUUCAACUCUUCAAAUGAUGGUAAUAGCUCGAACCA